rnacentral:rRNA from 1 species
AGUAAAUAGAUACCCAGGUAGUCCACGCUGUAAACGAUGUGUGCUGGAUGUUGGGUGACUUAGUCAUUCAGUGUCGUAGUUAACGCGAUAAGCACACCGCCUGGGGAGUACGGCCGCAAGGUUGAAACUCAAAGGAAUUGGACGGGGGCCCGCACAAGCGGUGGAGCAUUGUGGUUUAAUUCGAAGCAACGCGCAGAACCUUACCAGGGGCUUGACGAUGGGGAGGCUGCAGUCAGAGAUGGCUGUUUCUCGCAAGAGACCUCCUGCACAGGUGCUGCAUGGCUGUCGUCAGCUCGUGUCGUGAGAUUGUUGGG